rnacentral:misc_RNA from 1 species
UCCGGUUUGUCACCGGCAGUCUCAUUAGAGUGCCCAACUGAAUGUAGCAACUAAUGACAAGGGUUGCGCUCGUUGCGGGACUUAACCCAACAUCUUACGACACGAGCUGACGACAACCAUGCAGCACCUAUCUCACUGUCCCCGAAGGGAAAGCCUCAUCUCUGAGGAUGUCAGUGGAUGUUAAGCCCAGGUAAGGUUCUGCGCGUUGCUUCGAAUUAAACCACAUACUCCACCGCUUGUGCGGGCCCCCGUCAAUUCCUUUGAGUUUUAGUCUUGCGACCGUACUCCCCAGGCGGAUUACUUAAUGCGUGAGCUCCGGUACCCAGGAGGUUAACAUCCCGGACACCUAGUAAUCAUAGUUUACGGCGUGGACUAC